ensembl:lncRNA
CAAGGAGUCAGAUAUGGGACAGGAGUUUAAUCUGCUAUACAAAAGAAUUUCCUGAUCUAGAAAAGUUACUUUUUUAAAACCAUCGUUUCUACCUAGGAAUUUUCCAUGGCAGUGGAAUAUUGGUUCAAGACUUUAAAAGAUCUCUUACAGCAUAUGAGAUGCAAAGAAGAAAAGAUGGGAGAAAAGAGGUAAAGGAGAAGAGUGGCCCACCAGGUCGGACCAUCCUCCCUGGAACAGUUCUUCUUCAAACACCAUGGGAUUUUCUCUAUUGUUUGCUGCAGUGAUUCAGUGAUAAGCAUCAUCACCAGCCAAGCAACAGAAUGAGGGCGAGCACUUUCUCAUCCAAGGCCCUGGAUUCCGGGAGGACCGGGCUCCUGGCACUAACCGACCCUGGACGGGCGAGGACGGGGGACCGGGGUGGGAGGAGCUGUUCGGCGCCGGCUGCAGUCUCGCGCAAAAAGCCUCCGCCCUGGCGGUGUCCUCUGCCGCAGCCUCUGUCCGGGUCCCUGGACCCCGGAGGCACAUGAACAGCCCGCAGGGACCGCGAAAACGUAUGUGACUGCAACAACCAGAAUGCAACGAUCACUCUGAAAUGCGCGUCCCGUGCCAGCCCUCUCGCGUAGGCAGGUGCAAGUCCACUUGGGGGAGGGCGCGCGCCCAGGGCCUGAAAAUGUGGGUAGGGAACCCAGGAAUUCUAGCUAUAGUCCCAGCUCAACCCGCCCUCAGGCUGUAACCUCGCCUUUCGCUCCCUCCCUGCUAAAGCCGAGGCCAUGUCUCUCGACACAGUUCCGAGCCACACGCCCAAACUACCCAUGAGGCGUUGGGCCCUGAGCAGGUUACCGGGACUAGAGGAGACUGGCCGUGGUCCGCUGAAAAUUAAAAAAAACAAAACAAAACAAAAAAAAAAAAACCACGAACUGCCCAUCAGUCUCCCCAGCCUCUCGGAUCGCUGUUACGGCAACCAAUAAGCGCCUUCUCCUUGCCGCGCCCGGGCGGGACCGAGCUAACCAGAAGACCUCGGGGAAAUACGACCUAUUCUGGGAGACGCGGCAGCCGGCGCCCCCGCUGGAAAUUUUAGGUUUGGGAUACCCUCCCAUCUGAGUGGAAUUGUUGAAAUGUAGCGCCCCUCUGGUUGAGGAUGGGAGGGGAUGGGGCGGAGCAAGGCUGGAGGCAGUGCUGAGCGGGGAUCUUUGCCAAUUCCAGCGAGUCCUCGUACCUCCUAGCCUGGUCCACCGAUCGGUAGUCUAGUUCUUUCCUGGUGGUAACCCCCCUUUUAGCGAAUUGGAUACUUGUUGAGUACUCUUCCCUUCUGGACAACGUCAUUGUCUUCGGAACUUCCUUACCUACCCUUUGCAGUUACUCCAGGAAGCCUUCCUUGACCCUUUCCCCUUUCUGGUUUUACUGGACUUAUAUUUGAGUUCCCUGCAUAACCUGUGCAUUUUCCUAACCCUGUACUCUUACUUAUGUACUUUUCUGUCUUCCCCACUAGUUUGUGAUUUAUUUUUGAGUCCUUAGCACAGUAUCUGGAGGUGUUGUAGCGCUAUUUUCUCAAUGAAAUCUUAAGCAGAAUGCUGAUGUAUUAACCAAAUAACAAAGCUCUUCUAGUAGGUGUGAAGAGGGAGUGUCCAGAGCCUUGAACCCCCCCAAGAAAACCCUUGAGGCACUCAUUAUUAGUGACUUAAGCUAAAUAUUCACCUUAAUAUAUAUAUAUUAAUAUAUAUAUAGAAUAAUAUAAUAUAAUAUAAUAUAUAUAAUAUUAUAUAAUAAACAUGGUUUAC